rnacentral:rRNA from 1 species
CCUACGGGGUGCAGCAGUGGGGAAUAUUGCGCAAUGGGCGAAAGCCUGACGCAGCGACGCCGCGUGAGGGAUGAAGGUCUUCGGAUCGUAAACCUCUGUCAGCAGGGAAGAAGAAAGUGACGGUACCUUAGGAAUAAGCCUCGGCUAACUACGUGCCAGCAGCCGCGGUAAUACGUAGGAGGCGAGCGUUAUCCGGAAUGACUGGGCGUAAGGGGUGCGUAGGUGGUUUGGCAAGUUAGUAGCGUAACUCCAAGGCUCAACCUUGGAACUACUACUAAAACUGUUGGACUUGAGUGCAGGAGGGGCAACCGGAAUUCCUGGUGUAGCGGUGGAAUGCGUAGAUAUUAGGAGGAACACCAGUGGCGAAGGCGGGUUGCUAGACUGUAACUGACACUGAGGCACGAAAGCGUGGGGAGCAAACAGGAUUAGAUACCCCUGUAGUC